rnacentral:tRNA from 1 species
GGGGGCAUAGCUCAGUUGGUAGAGCGCCUGCUUUGCAAGCAGGAGGUCGUCGGUUCAAUUCCGACUGUCUCCACCA